rnacentral:rRNA from 1 species
AUACAGAGGGUGCAAGCGUUAAUCGGAUUUACUGGGCGUAAAGCGCGCGUAGGCGGCUAAUUAAGUCAAAUGUGAAAUCCCCGAGCUUAACUUGGGAAUUGCAUUCGAUACUGGUUAGCUAGAGUGUGGGAGAGGAUGGUAGAAUUCCAGGUGUAGCGGUGAAAUGCGUAGAGAUCUGGAGGAAUACCGAUGGCGAAGGCAGCCAUCUGGCCUAACACUGACGCUGAGGUGCGAAAGCAUGGGGAGCGAACGGGAUUAGAAACCCCAGUAGUCC